rnacentral:rRNA from 1 species
UACGGAGGGUGCAAGCGUUAUCCGGAUUCACUGGGUUUAAAGGGCGCGUAGGUGGCUUCUUAAGCGUGCGGUGAAAGCCUGGGGCUCAACCCCGGGUCGGCCGUGCGAACUGGGGGGCUGGAGCACUGUAGAGGCAGGCGGAAUUCCGGGUGUAGCGGUGGAAUGCGUAGAGAUCCGGAAGAACACCGGUGGCGAAGGCGGCCUGCUGGGCAGUUGCUGACACUGAGGCGCGACAGCGUGGGGAGCAAACAGG